AUUUUUUUUUUUUUUUCCCCUUUGCUCCAUGGCUGCUGCAUUUGAGCACGUCCUCACUUCCUGCAACCGAAGACUUUGCUACUCCACUAUCAUUGCUGCACUUUCCUUCACAUUACACUUAGAAUGUGAGCCCACCACUGGCUAGACUUUGCAGGGAAUCUGCCUUCUUUGGUGGCAGGGAGAGGAAGGAAAUGGGUGUCGUUAAUCAUCUGGAAAGUGUUUGGCUUCCAGAGGUGGAGCUGGAGAUUGCUAUAUAUAUUUCAUCAAUCCUUUGAGAGCUGCAGACCUCAAAUUAUAGCUGUUCUUAAUCACUCCAUGAGCCAUUGGGGUUGGGAGUAGCUCAGUAGCCUUGUUUUCUAAUGCUGGGCAGCUGAGAGCUGCAGCUUGUCAUAAACUAUAAACAAAACUUGGUUUCUUGAAACACCCUUACAGACCUGACAAAGGAGGCUGUUUGCAGUGGAGACCGUUUACAAAGAGGAGGUAGAUGUAGAGUAGAAUACUUGCCUACAAAACUAGAUUUUUUGGCCACUAUCUGGAGGUUGGCACUGCCUUCUCUGAGACUUAAAGCUCCUGUGGAAGGGUGAGGUGAGUCUUUCCCCUCAGGCUGUGUCCCUGGAAUCUCUAGUAGCCUGGGGCAAUGGAUGCAGGCAGCCCUGGGCUCUGCCCCCAUUUUAAGCUAUUGCUAGCUCUGUAGAAUGCAGCUUCUGAGCAGAGCUCUGUGGGUGCAGGCUCGGUUGAGCUCCUUGCCAAGUUCUCUUCUUCACUUCCCAUGCCAAAGGCAGGUUUUGUGGUGUGGCGUAAGACUUUCAAAGUAUAUAAGAUGGUAUUUAAUCAGUGCAUUUUUUUUUAUCUCAAAGCUAGGUGCACAAAAGAGAGAAAAGGCUGUACGGGAAGUUUACUCAUCUUGAACCUGGACAAUUCUUAUUUUCUGGCUUGCUCAAGCAAUGAGUCUCUGAGCACUGUCUGUACUGAGAGGUGUAGCUCCCUCUAGCAAGGACAGGUCAGAAUUAACAGCUCUUUAAAUUUUAUUUCUUUUUUCCUCAGAAUCAGGUCUUUGUUUUUCUAGGCAGCAGGUACACAGGAAACCAAGUCUCCUCUCAAAGUUCAAAUUGUUGCUUCCUCAGCAUCUAAAACAAGAAUUCCUGCUCCCAAUCUACAUAGGAACAUAGCCUUUUGUUUUUAUUUUUUCUCCCUGCAGUUUAUUCUGUUUAAAACCCUCAGUUAGUUGCUGCAAACAAUCCCAGAUCCCCUCGUUUGGGUGCUUUUGCUCACUUCUUGUUCUGUGCGUUGCCCUUCCCGUUGGCCUCUGUGAGGGGGGAGGCAGCAUACCAUGGAGAUUUCCUAGGGGAGAGGAGGUUUUUUGCAUAUUCUUUCUACUCCCAAAGGUCCUGUAGCAGAUCACAAUGGCAGUUUCAGAAAUCUGGGGCUACAAGUUAAUUUUUCACUCUGUGCAAACUUACACGUACUCCUUGUGAAGCUGCAGAAGUCUGGUCAGGUAGCUGAUCUAUUUUAACCAUUAUCAAUUGAAAGGCCAGCACAGCACCUUGGGACCUUUCCUGAGAGAGCCACUCUCUCUGCUGGAGCAGAAGAAACCUCUCAAGUUGUGGCUAGGAGAGAGCUGCCUUGAAUGCAGCCCAGCACAAAGAGCAGGGGAGGCAUAUGAGUUAUGCUGAGCAAAACACAUGAAGCUCACCUUGCAAAUGUGAGAGAGAACUGUGCAAGUAUUUGCCUGUUUGUUUGGGAAGUUUGGUGCUUGUUUGCACCCAGAGCCUCAAAGGUUUUUCUCACUUUGGCUUUGCCUCCUCAUGAGCUCUCUCCAUCAGAAUGUGAAGCAGCAGCAGCAGAUAGCUGGAAAUGCACCAGGUUUGCUGUAGCUCUCUAGUGCAAGGCACUGUCAGAUCAAUUGAAGAGCUCUCCUGUGAAGUGUGUGUCAGAGAGCUGUGUUUUGGAAAGGGCCUCCUGCGACUCCUCACUUUGAGAGCAGCCGUGUGGAGCUCAGCUGAGAAGUCCAAUGUGAGAUUGGUACUGCAGCCGCCAAGGCCAUUAUUUGAGCAUUAUCUUCUCCACAUUGCAGAGCCUGGGGAGAAAGCUGCAGAGUGCUGACAGACUGCAGAGACUUUCUGCUCUUCAAAGCCAUUUUCUGCACAGAACACUCCUGUUCGUGAGGGCAGUACACAAAAGUCAGAUCAUUCUGCCCUCAAAGAAGAAAGAUGCAUAUCUAUCUGGAGGACCUUUCCCUGGUGCAGUGCAGUGUAGCAGCCAUUGCAAAAACCUCCAGAAGCAGAAAUAAAUAAGGCUGUGGCUGUUCUGCCUGUCAGCUCCAUCCCAACAGCAAUUUGUGGCUGGAGUCACAAUUCUGCACUGAUACGGAGAGUGGUCGUCAUGGACAGAGGGACGCUGAGCAGCUCCAUGGGGAUUGGGAUGCAAGCAGUGUGGAUGCAGUGCCUCUGCCUGCAGGAGAAGAAAAACUGGUGAGAGAGAAAAGGCUUGGUUUGGAUCCAAAGGCAGCCGGGCUGGAGCACGACCUGUGAUUCAGAUGUCACCUUUGCUGAGUGCUGAACGGGGUGAAGAGCCCCCUGUUCCUGCUGCAGGGAGCUUCCCACACCUGUAUCCUUCCAUCCUCCAUUACUUGCCCAAGUCUGGUGGGAUACCCUUCCCCCAGGUAGCAAACCUGAUAGAGCUACAGGGAGGACAGGGUCCCUGCAGUUUCUCUACCAGAAUUAAAAGGCACACGCAGAGCUGUAGCAGCAGGGUGAGGAGGAGAGCAGAGCAGAGGGAACAGAAGCACCAAGCCUUCGUUUCAUCCCACCUGCGCUGCGGUGCUGACUUGCCCCGAAGAGUCGCAGGAAAAUCCUGUGUAAAUGGAACAUAAAUGUUUUAUGAAUUCAACCCUGGUGGAGUAAAUUAAAGGGUCAUUAAUGGCCUCAUUAAAGAGCUUUGCACUUUGUUCUGAAUUAUGAAAGCUGUCGUGCAAUGUUCAACUAAAUGGAGUUUUCGUUGAGAUUUUGAAACUCUUUAACUAGUUUUCUCCCCCUCCUCCAUUCGUUUCUUCCCUUUUUUUUUUGUUGUUGAUGAGAAAUGUCUUUUGAGGGAGCCGCCUGUAGUGCUACAAACUAGAUUUCAAUUAUAAAUCUUCUUAUGCUCCACUAAUUGCCCAGAAUUUUUCUUGAGAGCUGCCUGAGGUUAAUGCUGAUGAAGAAAGAACCCUUUUGUCUUUUCUUGAACUGGGGCCUCCCUCACUGCUUCUGGCAAGACAUCAAGCUGGGAAUUACCUCCAGUGACACCCAGAUGGUACAUGGAAGGGACGACAGAUGAGUUGGUCGCAGCAGCUUCUUGGCUCACCGCGGGCUGGGGAGAAGCCUUCAGAUUCUCCAGGGCUGCCAGCUGACCCUGGCCCAGAAAAGUGUUAGAGUCCAUCUCCUCCAUUUCACUCUUCCGCUCCAAAAGAGUGGCAGUGCACUGGCACAGCUGCCCAGGGAGGUGGUGGAGUCGCUGUCCCCAGAGGUGUUCAAGAACCGUGGGGAUGUGGCACUGAGGGAUGUGGUCAGUGGACGUGGCAGGGGUGAGUCAACAGUUGGACUAGACAAUCUUAGGGAUCUUUUCCAGCAAAAACCUACCCCGUUAAUGCUCGUUUCUUUGACUUGUUGACUUGCCCUCUGCAAAUUCUUUGCACAGUGACACGACAAAUUAAACCCCUUAUUAACUAAUUAAGCUAUUUCUCCAACCAGGCAGGAAGGCGAGAGGAGGUUGUUAUUCUUUCUAUUUUUAAAUACCAGCAAGAGACACAUGUGUCUGAGAUGCGUGGUGGACGGCUCCAGCUGAGCUGUACCGCUGCAGCCUGACACCUCUACAACAAAACCCAUCAGGGCUGGAACUUGCUUGUUUUUCUGUUUAGUUUGUACAUCUGGGAGAAAUUUCGGUGUCCAGAAAGGCUUCCUGAACCUCUGGAUGUUGAAGAACCACGGAGAUGUGGCACUGAGGGAUAUGUGGUUAGUAGGCAUGGUGGGGAUGGGUCGACAGUUGGACUGGAUGAUCUUAGAGAUCUUUUUUAACCUUGAUUCUACGAUUCUUUAAUGGGCCUUGUAGCUCGGGGCAGGCACAGAGCUCAAUAGUGCAGCCUGCGAGCACACGUUUGCUUUGAAGUUGAUGAAGUUUUCUGUCAUUUUAGCAAAAUCAGAGCUGAGCAGCAACCUGCCCUAUACUAGGGAUGUCCUCUUCUGGCCUCCUUGCAGCUCCAUCAUCACUCUUGCUUCUGAGCACGGCACCAUGCACAGACCCGAACACGGGCAGGUGUGACCCUUCCUGGGUCUGUGGGCUGGAAGGGGCUCGGAGCUGUGAUGGUCCACACUUGCAGAGGGUUUGGGGUGAGUGCUGUGGUGGGAGUGCCUGCAGAGUGUGCUGUGGCUUCAGGGAUUGCUGUGUGGCUGGGAGCUGGGAUGGAGGGGUUUGUGAUUUUCCCAUGAGAAGUCCCUAGCUGGUGGCAUGGUGGAAGGGUGGAAGGGUUCUUGGGAGAACACAGCACGGCUGGUGCAGCCCUGGGUGUAGAGAGCGUCAUGUAUUUGUCCUGGUCUGCACAGAUAGGAGAUGAGAGGGCAAAGGGAGCCUGAAGGCUCCUUGGGCAGAGAGAUGGAUGCAGGCACACCUGGGGAACCCCAGAAAUGCUUUGCUGUGCUGUUUUCAGUGAAGUGACUGAUGGGGGCGGAUUGAGGGAGGAGGAUGGAUAUGGGUGGGGAGCAGAUUUAGGAAAUGAUUUCAUCAUUGAUUAAAUGUUCUACGUGCUGAGACUUUGCAGAGGUUGGGGAAAGAGCAGCGAGAGGAUGUCACCAAAAGAUCUCAUUGCCAGCUGAAGGGAAAAGAGAUGGAGCUUGUGAGGUCCUUGGCCAUGCAAAGCCACACUGGGAGAAUGUGGGUGCAGCAGGGACAGCAAAUCCCACCUCACCCAUGCCUGAAAAUCUUUCCCCUAUUUAAUGCAUUACUGCCUGCUUAUUCCUAUAACAAAUAACUGAGUCAGCGGGAGAAAACCAAAUGUAAUUUAUGUCUCAGUCCAAGCAAAUAGCAAAGGCUGCCAAAUCCGACAAUAAAAAAAAACCACAGUGAUCUCAGAUGUUUCUCUCCUCUAUAUUAAGAGGGAGCAGCACAGCGUUUGGCCGUGGUGCCGAUAUGGGGGGACAGGAGCAUGCAGGGGACAGCCUUGUGCAGCACUCUGUGCAGGGUGUGCUGAGGGAUAGAGGCCUGGGAAAGAACACCUCAGCUCUGCACUGCUCCCAGCCCAGCUGUAGGUGCAUAAUGGUACCAAAAAGGCGUUUUGCUGUGCAGUGGCACGGAGCUGAUGUCCCCACCACGUGCCUGUCCUGACAUAAGUGAUAUUGAACCCUUCUGGGUUUCCAGCAGUGCUUGUAGAUGGCUGAGAGGGAUUAAAGGAAAGGUACGUAGGCACUUUGAUUAACUGCUUUCCUAGAAGAAGGCAUUUAGUGAGCACAACUGAGCUAUAAAUACCCUAUAAUGUUGCUCUAAUACAUGAAACAAAAUAGUUGAUGUUGAGCUGGAAUGAGGUUGUAUUGUUUUCUCUGUUCAUCACUGAGCUGUGAAAUUCCAACUUUGUAGGGUGUGCAUUUGGUGCGUGCUGGGUCCAUGUAGAGAGCAGGGGAACAGGGUGCCCAGGGCCAGCUCUCCUUUAGAUGUGUGCUUCGUUCCCUUACUUGCUUUUUGGCCAUACAAACCACAGAACAGCAGAAGGGAGAGGAAAGAAACAUUUUUCCUGGUCUGUGCUAAGAACAAUUUGGUCUCGUUAUAAUCUGAUUUCACCUGUUACUAAUUUUCCUCUGGUUGUGAGGGCUUGGAAUUGUUUGUUUGGUAAAUGAAGAGGGAAGAAGAGCUGUUGGAUGUUGUUCAGUGUGAGGUAAUGAUGGUGAGGGCACUCCAGGUGACAUGAGUGGUGCUGGGGGUGGGAGAAAACUCUGACCCCAUGCAGUGCCCUAUGGGGUUCAGAAUGGGGCAGAGGGCAUCCCCAUUGCCUCCCAUCCCUGCAGCGUGAGUGGGACUCCUUACUCCUUUAUGGAGCUGUGGUGGGGAAAUAGGAAAGCACAGAUGUAUGGGGAAUUCCCAACACGAUGCCAAGUCCCCACCCUCCAGAUCAGUUUGCAUCCCCCCAUUGCUAUCCUUCUUAGUGUAGUAGUCCCGUUGCUGUGACAAAUAGUUUGGGUGAUGUGAGCUGCUGAAAAGAAAUGACUUUAUUAGGCGAAAACAGCCUGUGAACCUCCUGGAACAAGCAGACUGUUUAAGUGACUCCAGAUUGCACGGGAAGGCGGCUGCUCCCCUAAAUCCCACAGCGUGCCUCAGCCGGGCUGCAGCAUUGCAUGGCACAGAGCAUCGCCCUGCACGGCACAGCUACUGCCUGAGGAUGGAGCAAGUGUGAAUAAAUCCUCAGCGCCAGAGCUGUUUUAGCAUGCCUCUAAUUGGAGCCAUAAAGUUAAACCUGGCCACUUAGGGUUCUGCUGGGAACUGGGGCUUCCAUUUGCAGGCUCCCCCGUGCAGCUAAAGGGCACCGUGCUUGCUAAUAGGCGUUAAAUUGGAGCAUCACUUUUUAAUAAGCCUCCUAAUGGCAUGAUGCAGCUCCUUGGCAGCUCUGGGCUGCCUCCAUUACGGUACCCACAUGCUGGGGUGAGUGAUGGAAGGUGGAGGUGGUGCCAGGUACCAGAAGGUUGGAGAUGCACAGAGCCAAGGAUGCACCCAGCUCCUGUGCUCCCCUGUGUACUCCAUCAACUUCGUUGUCAGGACUGCCCCUACCAUCAGACCAACCUCAUCAUUGGGACCAUCCUCUCUGCGAUGGCGAUGUUCCUCCUGUGUGCAUCACCAUCCCUGCUCUUGGGCUGUCAGAGCAAUUCCAGAUUUUGCCUUUCUCCUGCUUGAGACUGAGCAGGAUUUGAAGUGGUGCCCGACUGAGCUCAGCCCUGUCCCUGGCUGCAGGAUGGGGAUGCCUUGGGGAUGAUGCUGCUGAGCCCCGGGGGACAGGCAAUGGGUCCAAGUGCCCGCCUGACUGCUGCUAUUUCUGCACAAUAUUUCUGCUUUGCUGUGCAUGAUAAGCUGCAUCUGAGAUGGUUCAGACUGGAGGAGAUGAGGAUCGAGGGGGGGAGACCUUACUGCUCUCUACAACUCCCUGAAAGGAGGUUGUGGCCAGGUUGGGGACCUCUUCU